GACGAACGCUGGCGGCGUGCUUAACACAUGCAAGUCGAACGGAAAGGCCCUGCUUUUGUGGGGUGCUCGAGUGGCGAACGGGUGAGUAACACGUGAGUAACCUGCCCUUGACUUUGGGAUAACUUCAGGAAACUGGGGCUAAUACCGGAUAGGAGCUCCUGCUGCAUGGUGGGGGUUGGAAAGUUUCGGCGGUUGGGGAUGGACUCGCGGCUUAUCAGCUUGUUGGUGGGGUAGUGGCUUACCAAGGCUUUGACGGGUAGCCGGCCUGAGAGGGUGACCGGCCACAUUGGGACUGAGAUACGGCCCAGACUCCUACGGGAGGCAGCAGUGGGGAAUAUUGCACAAUGGGCGGAAGCCUGAUGCAGCAACGCCGCGUGCGGGAUGACGGCCUUCGGGUUGUAAACCGCUUUCGCCUGUGACGAAGCGUGAGUGACGGUAAUGGGUAAAGAAGCACCGGCUAACUACGUGCCAGCAGCCGCGGUGAUACGUAGGGUGCGAGCGUUGUCCGGAUUUAUUGGGCGUAAAGGGCUCGUAGGUGGUUGAUCGCGUCGGAAGUGUAAUCUUGGGGCUUAACCCUGAGCGCGCUUUCGAUACGGGUUGACUUGAGGAAGGUAGGGGAGAAUGGAAUCCCUGGUGGAGCGGUGGAAUGCGCAGAUAUCAGGAGGAACACCAGUGGCGAAGGCGGUUCUCUGGGCCUUUCCUGACGCUGAGGAGCGAAAGCGUGGGGAGCGAACAGGCUUAGAUACCCUGGUAGUCCACGCUGUAAACGGUGGGUACUAGGUGUGGGGUCCAUUCCACGGGUUCCGUGCCGUAGCUAACGCUUUAAGUACCCCGCCUGGGGAGUACGGCCGCAAGGCUAAAACUCAAAGGAAUUGACGGGGCCCCGCACAAGCGGCGGAGCAUGCGGAUUAAUUCGAUGCAACGCGUAGAACCUUACCUGGGUUUGACAUGGAUCGGGAGCGCUCAGAGAUGGGUGUGCCUCUUUUGGGGUCGGUUCACAGGUGGUGCAUGGCUGUCGUCAGCUCGUGUCGUGAGAUGUUGGGUUAAGUCCCGCAACGAGCGCAACCCUUGUUCACUGUUGCCAGCACGUUAUGGUGGGGACUCAGUGGAGACCGCCGGGGUCAACUCGGAGGAAGGUGGGGAUGACGUCAAGUCAUCAUGCCCCUUAUGUCCAGGGCUUCACGCAUGCUACAAUGGCUGGUACAGAGAGUGGCGAGCCUGUGAGGGUGAGCGAAUCUCGGAAAGCCGGUCUCAGUUCGGAUUGGGGUCUGCAACUCGACCUCAUGAAGUCGGAGUCGCUAGUAAUCGCAGAUCAGCAACGCUGCGGUGAAUACGUUCCCGGG
rnacentral:rRNA from 1 species